CCUACGGGCGGCUGCAGUGGGGAAUAUUGCACAAUGGGCGCAAGCCUGAUGCAGCCAUGCCGCGUGUGUGAAGAAGGCCUUCGGGUUGUAAAGCACUUUCAGCGGGGAGGAAGGCGUUAAGGUUAAUAACCUUGUCGAUUGACGUUACCCGCAGAAGAAGCACCGGCUAACUCCGUGCCAGCAGCCGCGGUAAUACGGAGGGUGCAAGCGUUAAUCGGAAUUACUGGGCGUAAAGCGCACGCAGGCGGUCUGUCAAGUCGGAUGUGAAAUCCCCGGGCUCAACCUGGGAACUGCAUUCGAAACUGGCAGGCGAGAGUCUUGUAGAGGGGGGUAGAAUUCCAGGUGUAGCGGUGAAAUGCGUAGAGAUCUGGAGGAAUACCGGUGGCGAAGGCGGCCCCCUGGACAAAGACUGACGCUCAGGUGCGAAAGCGUGGGGAGCAAACAGGAUUAGAUACCCCAGUAGUC
rnacentral:rRNA from 1 species